GAUAGACCUGACCAUGUUUUUGUUUGGAGGAAUGUGAAUUUUGGGACUUGGGAUUUGGAAAAUCAUGGAAUGCUUUAAGUGGGACUAAAUGGGCCAUCCUAGUAAGAAUAUGGAAGACAUAUUUGAACUCUGGAGAUAAUUCUUAUGAUGUUUUGAUGAAGAAUGUUGCUGCUUUCUGCCCUUGUCUGAAGAGUCUGUCUGAGGCUAAGGUGAAAUUUACUUAAACUUUAAUGUUUGGGCCCCCCGUACAAUAUACUAGGACAGUGUUUUGGCUUACAGGGUCUUUAGUGCUUUUAGUGAUAAAUAUGCAGAAAUUAUUGUUAAAUGUUGUUAUUGUACUUAUAGUUGCAAAGCACACUUUUUUUAUUUUUUUCUUUCUGUGAGUCUACCCAACCACAAUCUAAGUCAUUUCCGUUUCUGUGGAGGAAGAGGGAUGAUGCCUGCAAUUUGGAUUUGCAUGUGUAUUCAGGAGACAACUACGUUUUUGUGACAUGAACAAAAUCACAAAAGACGUACGAGCAUUAUUUAGCCCCUAUCCUGGAGUUCUUUGUUGAUGUGUAGUGGCCUCUCAACAUCCCUGAGUGAUGCUUGGACGGGAUCACUCUGCCCUAUUCUGAAGUGAGAGGUGAAUCCCCAAGAGCCUGUGGGUCCCGGUGACAAACCAGCUGUCCUGGUGGUGUCAAGCUGCUUUUGGUUUCCAUGAGCACUGUCAGCAUCACGUGAUCACCAGGCGAUUAGUGUCUCUUGCCUUUCACCCUGUCACUUUUUUGAUCUGCCUCUCAUUUUUCAUGUUCCACUCUUCCUCCAUUGUAUUACUCUAUGGCAUUUGACAUCAGCUGUCAUGUUUCCUGCUAGCUUCUUACGGUAGAAAACCACUAAACUCUAGUAGCUUUGCUCUAUUGUUCAGGGUUUUCUCAAAGCCACCCACAUUAUCCUGCUAGCAAAGUAGCAGAACUGAAAGAGAAUUUUUUUCAGUUUGACAUCUAGGCAUGGCUUCCUCUCCACCUGUAGCUUCUUGCUCGACUGAUUGGUGGGACUUUGCCUAGAAAUGCUGUCUAUUCCAUGUGGUUUGCUGGCCAUGCUGUAUUAACUGUAUCUGCUAUGUUUAAGCAAAUAAAUGCAAGUGUCCACGAAGAGUGGCAGUUUGGAUGCUAGUGGUAUUCUGUGGCUUGUUGCUUGCAGAUUACCUGAGGCCUCUAUGUGAACUGACUCAACCCUGGCUAUGUUGAUCUGGAAGAGAGGACCAUUUCCACCACUGACUGUAGUAAGCUCCAUGAGGACUCCCUCUGUCCAGGUUCUUUUCUUUCAUAUAUGCCAUAUGUCAUGGUCUUGAGCCUCUUCUAGAUAUCUAUACUUCUAAAUAUCUAGAUUUCUAAUCAGUCUGUUAAUUGGAGGGUUGAACAGAUGAUAUCAUUAUUGGCACUAGAGAGGAUUUAUAUUAGGAAAAACAUACAAAUUUUAUCAAAUUGAAUAUGUCAUGAGGUUAUGAUAGUAAAUGAUCAAAAUUAUAGAGAAUAAAACCACAAACUUCAGCCUUCCUCUUGGGAACUGGACCAGCCCUACACCAAAGAUUCUCAACUUGUGGUUGUGCCUCAUAUAUUUAAAUCCCUAAGCCUGUGCAAAUAUUUGUAUAUGAGUUCUUUUUCCAUUGAUCAAGGGUCCAGUUCUUAUUGAUUCCUAAGAGAGUGUAAGCCCCCCCCCAACCCUUUCCUUGUACUAUUUUUGAUAGAGACAGACUGCUUGCUCUAUAUUCAGGUCUCCUGCUAAACUUCUGACUUCUUUAUCCCCAGGUUCAUGAUGCCACUGCUUUUCUGAGGAAUAAGAUUUUUCAGUCACAUAAUUUUGAGGAGUGUUGGAGCUGAAAUACAAACCCAGCAGAACCAGUACCCCUUAUGUUUUGGGUUGCUCUGUUCUUUUCUCUAUACAGGAUCACCCUUUGGGCAGCAGCCCUUUUUAGGUGCACUAUUAUUGCCCUUUGAAGAAUCAUCCUUGUAUAGUAACUGCUUCCUAAGCAUCCUGCCUUCACUGUACUCCAGUAACCUUCCCCAGCCCUGAAGCCUAGAAGCAACCUCUCCAGACUGCUCACUCAGGGCUUUCCCAUUGCACAGCUGGCUGCGGAAAGCAGACCUUUAUCAUAACUGUGUAUUCUAGUCGGCAUAAAUGGACAAGCCUUGCAUCUGGACCAUCUCCAGGAAAUCCAUCCCAAACCCUGAAUGGUCCUGGCCCUGCUCCAAAACUGUACUAACCUCCCACAAAUUGUGAUUCCAGACACGUUUAUACCUUGGCCCCCAGGAUAAUGGAAGCCACAAAAGAGGCAGAAAUUAAAAUGUCCAUCCAGCUGGGCCCACAAUGUGGGCCAGUGAUUACAAUAGAACCAACUGUCUCUUGGGGCACCUGAGGGUAGCACACCUGUGCUUUCCAUAGUAGAAACAGAAUCAUCCAGAGAUAGUUCCUACAUGCUUAGCUAUUGUAAUUAUGAUGUGCUACUUAUCAACCAAGAUUUUAAUGAGCAAUUGGAAAAAAAAAGACCAAGUACAAAACAAUUAUGAGAAUUCUGGUGACCUUUGUCACACACCUUCCAUUGCCAUUUUAUGAAAACUAAACAACCCAAAUUAUUGUUUGAUGGAGGCUGUAAGACAAGAUAGAGUAUUGUGAAUCUCUACCAAGAAGAGUGAGGACCACUCAUAUCUUCCCAGUGACCUCGGGUCCUGAAAGGCAAGCAUUAUACGAUGCCAUUGCAGAUGGAAAGAGUAUUCACAGCAACGGUGACAGGUCUAAGAAUAAGGGAAACCAAGGACAUAGGGUGACAUAGAGUUCAAGCUAUGUAGACAUUGCCCAUCUCAGUUUUUCCUUCCAUCCUUAAUAGCCCCAGCCAUUGGCAGGAGCCACUCAUUUUACCCAAAGCUGUCUGAAGGUGCAGAGUUAAGUGCUUGCUAUGGCACAUCUGAGAGUCUUUGCUAGGCUAGGUCUGAAAGUGAGCACUCCACUUCUGGUGUGCCAAGAAGAAGCAGCUCCCUCACUCCCACCCCAAACAGCUCUUAAGCAUGGAGAGGCAGUGGUCCAGUGAACAAAGAAAUCCUGCCACCUCUCUCCCAGCAACUCACCUGUCCCCUUGUAUCUUCAUGCAGGACGGACACACAAUGUUGUGACACACCUGCUACCCACGGUUUUAUGGCUUUUGUUUUUGAACUUCCUUCUUCACUAGACUAGAUGCUUUGUGAGGACAGUUUUCACGAUCGUCCUAUCUUUAAUAUGAAAACUUUUGGGGCAGAAUAAUCAACUCAAUGAGGUUCUAGUUACUAUCACAGCAACAGCGAAUUAUUAGUGAAAAGUGGAGUUAUUGCCUGAUUUUGUUUGUUUGUUUAUUUAUUUAUUGGUGGUUUUUGUUUUAUUUUGAGACACAGUUUCUCUAUGUAACCCUGACUAUCCUGGAACUCACUGUAGACCAGGCUGUCCUUGAACCCAGUGCCUGCCUCUGCCUCCCAAGUGCAGUGACUAAAGGUGUGUGUGUGCCACUACUGCCCAGUAUGCCUGGGUGCUUUUAAUACUCAUGGGGACACACUGCAGCUUGGUGUGUGUGGCCUCAGUGUUGAAUAUAACUUGAAAGAUAGAAGUGAGUGGUAGCAUGCAGUGAAUUAUGACACUUCUCUCCGGCCAUGUUCUGUCUGCUGCAGGGGCCUGUAAUACAGUGCUUCUCAGCCUUCCUAAUGCUACAAACUUUUAAUACAGUUCUUCAUAUUGUGGUGACCCCCAACUGUAAAAUUAUUUUAUUACUACUUCAUAACUGUAAUUUUACUACUGCUAUAAAUCAUAAUGUAAAUAUCUGUGUUUUCUGAUGGUCUUAGGUGACCCCUAUGAAAACAUCAUUUGACACCCAAAGGGGUCACAAGCCACAGGGUAAAAAUUGCUGCUCUAGGAGGUUGGGGGUGGGCAUCAUUGCAGCGGGGCUUUCUCCAGAACAGUGGGUCCAGCAUCUAUAAAUCCUUCUCUUUUUCUCCAGGGAAUCAUCUUCCUCGGGGCCAAGAGGUUUGAUUCAGCCACAGUCCCAGCUGAGAUUGCCAGAGGAGACCUACAAUAGGAAACUUACUGGCUUUGCUAGGGAAAGAAAUAUCUUGGACCUGUGGGGUCUUUACACUGAAGCCAUAUAGGAGGAAAAGGGUGUUGAGGGCAUGGAAAGUAAAAGAGGGAUAAGAGGUCCCUUAGACACCAGGAGAGCUGAAAAAAAUCUCCCAUGUCUUUAAUGUUGGUCGCUACAAUAAUAAAGCGAAUUCCAAAACCAUAUGGCUUUAUCCUUUUCUAAGAAAGAGAUCAUUUAGUAGACUCACAAAGGAUCUAGCUUUUAGGAAGUCAUAGCCUUGCUAGGAAUUCAUCAUUUUAGUGGACUGAAAUCUACUGGAGCUACAGGUAACUCCCAUUGUGUAAUACCGCAUCAAUCUGACAGCUCCACAUACAGACAAUGAUUACGGCUUAUUCGUUCCUUCUACCGCUCAAUAAAUAUUUAUUGAGUGCUCACUAUGUAUAAGUAGCUCUUUUCUCCAGUUAAAUAUUUAGGCCAUCCUUUGAGCUGUUCCUCACAUCGAAGGGAUUCUGGAUCAUUCCUUCCACUGAGGGAUCCACUGUGCACAUUGUCCUUUUUAACUCCAUGUAGAGCACAGUGGACAAUGACUAUGGCAUCAAUUCACACU